UAUUAUCUCAAUUUCGCUGUAACAGAAAUAAUCCUUCAGAAAUUAGAUAUGCGGUUGUUUUCUUAAAACAAAAACGAGCUCUAUAGUCACUAUUCCUCGCCGAGUUAGAUUGCAAAAAGAUUCAACCACGCCAUAAUUAUUGUUUGUAAUCAUCCCCACAGAUUUCGAUUUCUACGUAUGUACUUUCUGUUUUCCCGCAAAGAAGCUUUCGCUUUUGAAUUCAACAGUUAUUAUUGACUACCUUACUGGCCAAGAACAAAGAUCAAGAAACCUGCGGCAAUUAUUUGUAACAUACCUUUCUACUCGCCACCGCCUUAUUGUACAGGUUAGUCUACCCACAUACUCGUGCUGUUUUUCUCAAUGAGGAAAAUACCUUGGUACCUCCUCUUUUCAGUGCCUGGAGCUCUCUGUAAGGCUUUCACGCUGUCUAGAAAAAUUCGUAUAAAAUAGGUUCCUCCAAGCGCGAAUGCAAGUCAGUGCGCUCACCAUUGCCAUGCUGUUCUCAUGGCUAGUUUCAGUUUUGUUGGCAAUCCUUCACGCUGUAGCGUGGUGUGGCCUCUUGGCGUUUAUUUGUCUCGUCUUUUGGUCCAACAAUAACCGAGCGUUCGCCCGUUUAGUCUUUCUUGUGUCUCCGUUAAAUGCAGUGAUGAGUCUCUAAAUUUUGCUUGAAGGACGACAAGAGUUAUACCGGUCUGCAUUUAAUGUAUACGACGUUAUCUAAUACUCGAUCACUACUCACGACGGCAAAACAUUUAGAUAACUCGUUUCUCAUAAUCAAUUAUUGUAAAUUCCUAUUGUGCUUCCACUAUCACCAGUGUUAAUCCUACGCUACUGCUCGAAUUCGCCAGUAGCCUUUCACUGCUUGUUAUCUUCGUGUGUCCCUAAAUACAGACAAGAGUUGACCUCUCAGCCGCUUAAAAUGUUCUGUAAAUGUAGGCCGCCGUUUCACAAUGAAAAGACAACCUGUAAUGUUUCUUAAAAUCCUUUUAAGCGAUCCGACAGUAUGCUUGUUAAAUGCUAUACAUGUUUCUACCAUAUGUUUCACCAACUGCACAUCGGCUUUGUAUUGGCUAUAGCAUAGUAGCGUAGUCUGUACUAGAUAAAUUUGGAAUCAAAUUAAAUAUUUUUGUUUUUUGAUUAGUAGGUUACAAAAUAAGGUCCUCUUAACCAGUUCUCUAUCUGUUUAGAGUCUUUUUAGCUAGAACUAGUGUCUACCUGUUACAAAGUCUAAUCUCUUUAGGACUUUUGAAGAUUCGAUUGAGGUUAGCCAUGUUUGGAAUAUGCCGUUAUAUCGAAGCUGCGUUCGGCUGCGUUACCUUGCAUAGGCAUAGCACGAACAAAAUGUAAGGUAACAAAGUUUCCAUGAAAAAUCUAUUCGUGUCCUCAGUACGAAUUUUGCACAGUCAUGGUGUGCAAAAGGAACAGCUGCGGCAAGGGAAUUACGUUUGAUUUAUCGUCUUUCUAAUGACGUGAAUGGCGUUGCCAAGAAAACCCAAAGUGAAAAUUAAUGUCUUUUUCGUCUACAAGAUUGGUGAAAUAGUAUACUGUACACUCACGUAUAAAAAAAUAUGUGGCUUUCGGUUGAAAAGGAAAGGAGAAUCUAAUUGUUUCGCUGAAGACUGCUGACGAAUUUUCAACUCUGAACGUCAUCAGCAGGAAGUGAUAAGCUAAUCCAACCUGCACUUUUCGAAAUUUGAUAAUCUAAUAACAACAUGAAUUUUUCAGUAAUUUUUAGAGCAUUAGGAUUUCCCUAACCAAGGGUAUUUCCCGACAGGUAGGACAUGAAAGUGGAACAAUCUCUUUUUUCGUUUUAAGCAAUUGUAGUGUACUGCACGAACCCAAACGACUAACGAGUGAAACCUAUCCUUUUGCAGCUGCGAGUCAUUUAACACAUCAGUACAUUUUUUUCCUUCGCUUUCCAGUUACUACACCCGUUUGCCAUGUCUCUGGUUACUAUUUCAGAACAACUACAAGCCAUACAGACUGUCUGUAAGUAUUUUGCCGGUAUUAUAAAUAACUUAAUAAGCUAGGGGAAUCUGUUAUCUUUAUGUAGCCUACGCUAUCGGUAUUGGCUAUGAAUAAUCUUCGUAGUUUUUAUUUUUAUUUAUUUUUUGUUUGAAACUCUAAGGAAUGUGGCAUUCCGGUAAAGAAAUGAAAAAUAUCGCUUAAUUUAACUGACUCUCUUGAAUUUAGGUUCAAAUAUUCAUGGACAACAACAAAAAUGGAACACAAGUGAAAGUGAUGAAGUUAGACAUAAGGGACAGGCUGAAGGACUGUUGCGGAAUAACAACUAAAUAUUUCCAAAUUUGCGCGCUAGAAUUGUUAUCUUAGCCUUUUGAUUAAUAUUCCCUCUUUAGAUCGACCUGUUCUGAAUAUUUUGAAAUCUGUUGAAUGAAUAAAAAAAAAUUCAUUUGGAUUUGCGGAAAAGUAAGGAAUUCAAACGCAUUUUAACCACAAUUUACGGAUGAAAAAAAAGUCCUUCGGGAACCUCUCCAAGGAACCUUGGCGUAUUGGUAGAAUUCCGUUCCGUCCAGUCGUCCGUGGAUGCUAAGGGCUGUCAAUAGGUGGCUAAAUAUUUCAGUGUGUUUAGGGAUUUAACUAUUGCCCUAUUGUGUUGGUAGUUUUAGAGGGAAGUAGGGGGGGGGGGGUCAUCAAAUUGUCGAUAUCUGCAGACGACAUUCUAUCCACAAUUUCUUUAUUUUCGAGACGCUGUCCGAGAAGGUUACCUUAGACAUUUGCUCAUAGCGGGCCACUCUCUUUCCGGACGUUUUUCGUCAACGCCUGGUGAAGUCUGAGCUUCAUCGCAUUACGUGCACGUGAUCGCUGCCUUGUCAUGAGGAGGUUCUCCACCGUCUCCACUAAUUUGCAAGACAAUUGAGAUGAAAAGAGGAAAUUUGAAAAGAAUUGACUAGGGUUGUAAAUUGAAAGAUUCGACAAGUACGUUCUGCUCCAACUUGUGAAAAAAGUCAGCUUGUGAAGAGAUGAAAAUUUUUUUUAUCAAGGUUCCUUGUUCAGUUUGAACAGUUAAUGAUGUCAAGUGUGCAGUGGCUUUGCAGACAUUCAGUUGAGAGAUGCCCUGAGAUGAAUGAUCAAAUGCCGAGCCUAUUCUCAUAUCAUCUUUUUCAAUGGAGAUCCUGUCCGAGAAGGUAUAGCUUGGUUGUUGCAGGCAACUUUCUCUCUGGACAUUGUCAGUCUUUUAAAUGCUUUUUAUUGCGUUACGUGCACGGAUCGCUGCUGUUUGUUUAAGAUUCUUCAAGAGGGUCUCUACUACAUUGCAAGACAAUAUUGUGAUGGAAAUAGGAAAUUUGAUAUAGUAAUAAUAAUGUUUCCAUGGUCAGUUGAGCAGUUUAGUUGUGGGUGUUUGGUGUGCAGUGAUAUUUCAGGAGAGAUGUGUUAAAAAGUAGUCAUGUUGGCUUUAGAGUUAUUUCCAGGGAGAAAGCGCCUGAUGCUGGCAACAUGGUAAUUGUGUGCAAUUGAGACCGACUUCAUCUUCUCUGGAGUCUGGACACUGUCAGUUACAUUGUUCGUGAUCAAUGCGGUCAACGCCAACCUUCUUCUUCACAAAUAUCUUUAAGUGGCUUAGUGAAGUUAAGAUUUUUCAUGGCAUUUGAAUCUCCACGUGGACUUGUUGCGGUGAGCUGGUGAAGGGUGUGGCGAGCUGUUGCAUGACGACUGUGUGCUGGUGUGGGGAAGUGCUGCAUGCUGUCUGUGGUUUAUUGUCAGUUGUUGCUCUUUGGUAUGGAGUUCAUGUUCAGGUAAAAGAUUGCUUUCUUUAUCUGUUGAAGAAUG